UCCUGCUUUUUCCGAUCUACCAUCAGCGGUGGGACCACCGCCAGGAUGCAGAUUUUCAUUAAAACCCUUACGGGGAAAACCAUCACACUCAAGGUUGAACCCUCGGAUACUAUGGAAAAUGUAAAGGCCAAGAUCCAGGAUAAGGAAGGAAUGCUACCUGAUCAGCAAAGACUGAUCUUUGCUGGUAAGCAGCUGGAAGAUGGACAAACUUUAUCUGACUACAACAUCCAAAAGGAGUCCACUCUUCAUCUAGUAUUGAGACUUCGGGGUGGUGCUAAGAAAAGGAAGAAGUGUUACACCACCACUCCUAAGAAGAAUAAGCAUAAGAGAAAGAAGUUUCAAUUGGCUGUCCUGAAAUACUACACGGUGGAUGAAAAUGGCAAAAUUAGCCGUCUUCGUCGAGAAUGCCCUUCAGAUGAAUGUGGUGCUGGGUUUCACGGCUCGCCACGUGGACAGGCAUUACUGUGGCAAGCGUGGUCUCACUUACUGUUUCAACAAGCCAGAAGACAAGUGAUUGUGUAUGAAUUAAUAAAAGGCAUAAUCUAAAAAAAAAGAAAAACUCCUAUUCA